rnacentral:tRNA from 1 species
UCCCUGGUGGCUCAGAGGAUAAAGCACCUGCCUGCAAUGCGGGAGACUCAGGUUAGAUCCCUGGGUUGGGUA